UCCACUGCAUUCUAUUGAGUACAUGUGAGUCAGAAGCCCAUCCUGUUUUAAGGGGAGAGGAAUUACACUCCACCUCUCAAUGGGUGAAUGGAUGACAAUGGAUCCGGAAUAGGAAAUGUUACAAUGGUAACAGCCAGCUGAGACCUGACCAGGGGCCCGGAGACAUUUCCAAGAGGAUGGAGGAGCCCUUCUCAGCUACAUCUCAGAAAUAAAUGCACAGCCUUCUAAGGGACUACUGUGAAAGACAAGGUGUUCUGGACUACAUAUUACAAAAGUGCCAUGUUUUACUAUGAAACCUGUCUCAUUGCCU
rnacentral:lncRNA from 1 species